rnacentral:rRNA from 1 species
UACGUAGGGGGCAGGCGUUGUCCGGAUUCAUUGGGCGUAAAGAGCUCGUAGGCGGCUCGGCAAGUCGGGUGUGAAACCUCCAGGCUCAACCUGGAGACGCCACUCGAUACUGCUGUGGCUAGAGUCCAGUAGGGGAGCGUGGAAUUCCUGGUGUAGCGGUGAAAUGCGCAGAUAUCAGGAGGAACACCAGCGGCGAAGGCGGCGCUCUGGGCUGGAACUGACGCUGAGGAGCGAAAGCGUGGGGAGCAAACAGG